CACUCAUAACUUUCUAAAAAGUUCACUUCUUAGGCUGAAAUUUUCAGGGACUGGUGACUGACUAAAGGUUAAUUGUUUUGGAAAGUUUGAAC
rnacentral:pre_miRNA from 1 species